rnacentral:rRNA from 1 species
GGGCCCGCACAAGCGGUGGAUUAUGUGGAUUAAUUCGAUGCAACGCGAAAAACCUUACCUGGCCUUGACAUGUACCGAAUUUAGCAGAGAUGCUUUAGUGCUCGUAAGAGAACGGUAACACAGGUGCUGCAUGGCUGUCGUCAGCUCGUGUCGUGAGAUGUUCGGUUAAGUCCGGCAACGAGCGCAACCCACAUCCCUAGUUGCCAGCAGUUCGGCUGGGCACUCUAUGGAAACUGCCCGUGAUAAGCGGGAGGAAGGUGUGGAUGACGUCAAGUCCUCAUGGCCCUUACGGGUUGGGCUACACACGUGCUUUACAAUGGUAGUGACAAUGGGUUAAUCCCAAAAGCUAUCUCAGUCGGAUUGUCGUCUGCAACUCGACGGCAUGAAGUCGGAAUCGCUAGUAA